rnacentral:rRNA from 1 species
GACGAACGCUGGCGGCGUGCCUAACACAUGCAAGUCGAGCGGUCCUGCAUUCAACAUUGAGUAUUCAGCAGGCGUUGGAGAUGUAACCAGCGUCAAGCAGAAACGACUAUAUAUUAUAAUUUUUUGAAGUUUCUGCUUCACGCCAAAUCAAGUGCCAACACAAAGGGAGCUGAGUAUUGAAUGUUGAAUGCAGGAUAGCGGCGGACGGGUGAGUAACGCGUGGGCAACCUGCCUCAUACAGGGGGAUAACACAGGGAAACUUGUGCUAAUACCGCAUAAUAUCAUUGGGUGGCAUCACCUGAUGAUCAAAGGGAAAUCCGGUAUGAGAUGGGCCCGCGUCCGAUUAGCUAGUUGGUGAGGUAACGGCUCACCAAGGCGACGAUCGGUAGCCGAACUGAGAGGGUUGAUCGGCACCAUUGGGACUGGAGACACGGCCCCAGACUCCUACGGGAGGCAGGCAGUGGGGAAU